AUAUUGGUCAAUGGGCGAGAGCCUGAACCAGCCAAGUAGCGUGAAGGAUGACUGCCCUAUGGGUUGUAAACUUCUUUUAUAAAGGAAUAAAGUCGGGUAUGCAUACCCGUUUGCAUGUACUUUAUGAAUAAGGAUCGGCUAACUCCGUGCCAGCAGCCGCGGUAAUACGGAGGAUCCGAGCGUUAUCCGGAUUUAUUGGGUUUAAAGGGAGCGUAGAUGGAUGUUUAAGUCAGUUGUGAAAGUUUGCGGCUCAACCGUAAAAUUGCAGUUGAUACUGGAUAUCUUGAGUGCAGUUGAGGCAGGCGGAAUUCGUGGUGUAGCGGUGAAAUGCUUAGAUAUCACGAAGAACUCCGAUUGCGAAGGCAGCCUGCUAAGCUGCAACUGACAUUGAGGCUCGAAAGUGUGGGUAUCAAACAGGAUUAGAUACCCUGGUAGUCCACACGGUAAACGAUGAAUACUCGCUGUUUGCGAUAUACGGCAAGCGGCCAAGCGAAAGCGUUAAGUAUUCCACCUGGGGAGUACGCCGGCAACGGUGAAACUCAAAGGAAUUGACGGGGGCCCGCACAAGCGGAGGAACAUGUGGUUUAAUUCGAUGAUACGCGAGGAACCUUACCCGGGCUUAAAUUGCAGAUGAAUUACGGUGAAAGCCGUAAGCCGCAAGGCAUCUGUGAAGGUGCUGCAUGGUUGUCGUCAGCUCGUGCCGUGAGGUGUCGGCUUAAGUGCCAUAACGAGCGCAACCCUUGUUGUCAGUUACUAACAGGUGAUGCUGAGGACUCUGACAAGACUGCCAUCGUAAGAUGUGAGGAAGGUGGGGAUGACGUCAAAUCAGCACGGCCCUUACGUCCGGGGCUACACACGUGUUACAAUGGGGGGUACAGAGGGCCGCUACCACGCGAGUGGAUGCCAAUCCCCAAAACCUCUCUCAGUUCGGACUGGAGUCUGCAACCCGACUCCACGAAGCUGGAUUCGCUAGUAAUCGCGCAUCAGCCACGGCGCGGUGAAUACGUUCCCGGGCCUUGUACACACCGCCCGUCAAGCCAUGGGAGCCGGGGGUACCUGAAGUGCGUAACCGCGAGGAGCGCCCUAGGGUAAAACUGGUGACUGGGGCUAAGUCGUAACAAGGUAGCCGUACCGGAAGGUGCGGCUG
rnacentral:rRNA from 1 species